UAUUAUUUUUAUUAUUUUAACAAAAUUUAAGAGUAGUAGGUAUAAUUUUUGAAAUUCAAAAAAUUUGGCAGUAUUUUAAAUAUUUAGAGGAUUAUGUAUAUUAAUUGAUAAUACACAAUAUUUAUUUACUUUAAUUAAAUUAUUUUAUAUAUUAUUAUCAUAAUAUAAUAUUUGAAAAUUAUUAUAGAAAUAAAUAAAAUUAUUAAAAUGUUAAAUCAAAAUAUAAUUUAUAUUAAUGUCUAAUAUGUAAUACUAUUUAUUUAAAUUAAUAUAUUUAACUAUUUAUUUUAAAUUUAUUAUAGGAUUUAAUAGUAAAUAUUUAUAUAUAUAAAUAUUGAAUUAUAUUUAUAAUGUGCACAUAUUGCCCGUCGCUUUUAUUAAUUAAUAAAAUAA
rnacentral:rRNA from 1 species